GGGCCUUUAGCUCAGUUGGUUAGAGCAUCCGGCUCAUAACCGGACGGUCCCGGGUUCAAGUCCCCGAAGGCCCA
rfam:Butyricicoccus pullicaecorum 1.2 genomic scaffold acBRa-supercont1.2, whole genome shotgun sequence.